CGGCCCGCCACCCCUCAAGACCCCUUGCCUUCCGCUCCCCCAGGCACUGGAGGGACCCUGAGCCUCUGGGGAUCCCGGCCCGAGGGCAGCCAGGGAGGAAGGUGCCUGGAUGCACGCAGGGGGGUAAACUGAGGCAGGGCAGGAAGCACCUGGUCUGGAGCGGAUGCACAGGGCGCCUGGUUCCGGUCCAGCUUCCGCCACUGCGGCCCCUGGAGAGCUAGGCCGAAGAAACCAGGCGGUGAGGAGGCAGCAGCGCGAGGACUCAGCGCUCCAGUCAGGCAGGGGCGAACGACCCCAGAGGAACGGCCCCCAGUCACGCAGCUGUAUGGACCGAUACACAAACCACAGGCAAUCCGGAGGUGACGUGACAUCUCUUUAUUGGUUCAGUCUAUGCCUGGC